rnacentral:rRNA from 1 species
AAGCGCUUGCAGCCAGACGUGCCCGUAGUUGCUCAUCGGGGGUUCUCCCCCGUGUACUCUUCUAUGGGCAGGCCAGCAUCAGUUCGCUGUGGGGGAUAAAGGCUUUGGGAAUGUGGCUCCUCCGGGAGUGUUAUAGCCCAUUGUGUAAUACCCUGUGGUGGACUGAGGUUCGCGCAUCUGCAAGGAUGCUGGCGUAAUGGUCAUCAGCGA